ACCAGACUCCUACGGGAGGCAGCAGUGGGGAAUAUUGCACAAUGGGGGAAACCCUGAUGCAGCGACGCCGCGUGAGCGAUGAAGUAUUUCGGUAUGUAAAGCUCUAUCAGCAGGGAAGAAAAUGACGGUACCUGACUAAGAAGCCCCGGCUAACUACGUGCCAGCAGCCGCGGUAAUACGUAGGGGGCAAGCGUUAUCCGGAUUUACUGGGUGUAAAGGGAGCGUAGACGGCAGUGCAAGUCCGGAGUGAAAGCCCGGGGCUCAACCCUGGGACUGCUCUGGAAACUGUAAAGCUGGAGUGCGGGAGGGGCAGGCGGAAUUCCUGGUGUAGCGGUGAAAUGCGUAGAUAUCAGGAGGAACACCGGCGGCGAAGGCGGCCUGCUGGACCGUAACUGACGUUGAGGCUCGAAAGCGUGGGGAGCAAACAGGAUUAGAUACCCCUGUAU
rnacentral:rRNA from 1 species